CUGAGACAGUGCUCUAGCGAUGGUCACAGGUAUAAGCUGUUAGCUAGAGCAAUUUCAGCAGUUGGGAGGUGAGCAUAUCAACCCACAAGGUUGUCUGAGAGGGACAACAACUUCUGCUGUUAGUUUACUUUUGGGUAUAAACGUGAACUUUGAGGAAAGAGUUAAAUUCAAUUAAAAACAAAUUCGUUGAGUGUCUACUAUGUGCAAAACAAUAUGUUGUGGCAAAAGGGGGACGCAAUGUGAAAGAUCUGUUGCCCUCGAGAAGAAACGACCCUGCAUAUCAGCAAGGUAUCUUUUCCUGAAGCCGGUCUUCAUUAACAGGCUUGGUCUUUCUCCCAGUGGAGAAAUCACUUGGGCCACUUCUGCAUCUAGAGUGUCAGACCCAAGCUAGGAAAAAGAAUCAUCUUUAAAAGUAUGUCAUCAGCACUCAAGACCUUUAAUGAGCCAGCGGAAUUGGUCUCCUGGUCCUCUCCUCACUCCACAGAGACUGAAAACUAUGUCAGUUCAUCGCCACGCAAUAUAUAUCAAGGACUACCAUGAGUCAGAGACUCUGCCAGCACUGGGCAAAGAAGGAAGAAGGCCUUGUCUGGGACAUCAUGGUGCUUAAAGUCUAGAGAAGUGUCCAGAGAAGUCAACAAGUGGGAAGGUGUCUACCCAGUGUACAGCAAACUAUUUCUGUAGGCUGCCCGCAGUUGACAUCCUCCAUUCUGACCCUCGCCAAGCAUUUCAGAAAAGGUAGACAGGCCUGCAGAGAAAGCAGAUGGCUCAUCGCACAUCACACAUAGGAGCCUGAACAAGCCUGGAUUUGCCCACUGGAGGAUGAGAAGACGCUUGAAGCAGAGUCCAGAACACAGAGAAGAGUCCAAUUAAGAUCAGCAAAGCUGCCUAACCAACCCACACCUACCUACCCAUAGAGAAAUGGAUGAGCUCUACCAAGCCCAGUUCACCCCAGUGGAAAUGACUACCCAUCUGCAUAUGCAAAGCUGAAUAAAUGCUUAUCACUUGAAACCAUUGGGUGUGGGGUUUUUAUGCAGCAAUAGCUAACUGCUACAAGCCACCAAGUAGAAGAUGCUUUCCUUCAGAGAACACCUAAUUUCUUUUUACAUACAAACCCGCUUUGCAUUUGAAUUUCUUGCUAAGGCUGAGCAGGCUUUAGGUAUGAAAAAAAAUAAAGAAAAAAAGUCAUAGGAACAGACCUUGCCUUCAAGUAUGCUCAUAUUUUGAUGACACUUAGAAGGUCACUUAGAAACUGCUUUGAGUCAAGAAAUU
rnacentral:lncRNA from 1 species